rnacentral:lncRNA from 12 species
UUUUCUGGAUUGCUAAGCAACCCCAUCCUCAGCUCUGUGCCUUCCAAACACCCUCAGCCCCACGGCAGGAUGAGCUGCAGACAUGAAACCCUUGAUUUAGGGGAGGAUCAGGGAGGUGCAAAUGGCUCCAGUGCCUCACACCUGAGGAAUUUUGUAGCAGCCUGGCUUAAAUCAGCUCUGAGGCUGCUUCAAACAGCAGCAGGUGUGCCCAGAGGAUGGAAAAGUGACAGUGGGACACUCCUGCCUUGGGCCAUCAGGGACCUGACUGCACCCGAGCCUGCCUGGCACAGGGAACCCCAACCCCAGCUACAAAUCUCAUUUUGGAACCCGAAUUUCGGGAGGCAAAGCAGCAGCACCCAGGAUUCCCCAGCGAGGAUUUGAAGCAGCAGCAUCAACCACUGAAGAGUUGAAAAACCAAUCCAGUUACCAGACCUUGCAAAGUUGAAAAAAAAAAAAAAAAAAAAAAAAAAAAAACCUAGAAAUUGUCUAAACCUGCCUGCUGGCUCCAUGGCACCAGCACAGAAACCAGGGCUGCAGAUUGUCAGGCUUGUUUUUCUCUGGGUGUCACCCACUGCCUUCUGUGUGAGGACAUUCUGUUUUUUCCAGGUUCAGCCCUGGGUUUU